rnacentral:rRNA from 1 species
UACAGAGGGGGCAAGCGUUGUUCGGAAUUACUGGGCGUAAAGGGCGCGUAGGCGGCCUGCUAAGUCGAACGUGAAAUCCCUGGGCUCAACCCAGGAACUGCGUCCGAUACUGGUUGGCUUGAAUCCGGGAGAGGGACGUGGAAUUCCAGGUGUAGCGGUGAAAUGCGUAGAUAUCAGGAGGAACACCGGUGGCGAAGGCGGCAUCCUGGACCGAUAUUGACGCUGAGGCGCGAAAGCUAGGGGAGCAAACGGG